ensembl:lncRNA
CAAAAGUCGCUUUUGAGUUUACCCACAAUUUAAAAUAAUAUUUAAACAGUCACAUUUUUUUUUUAAAAUGCAAAUCCUUAUUGGCUGUCAGAUGGCGCCCGUCUUAUUCUAAGACGUAAUGUAAGCAAAGGACAAAAAAGGAGGUACAAUACACAGCAGUGUAAAGAGUGGCCUGAGAGUUUGAGAACGAAGCCAAAAUGGAGACAGAAGUGACCACGGACAAUAAUGAACAAAAGACGGAGGACGACUUGCCCGGGGGCCGUACCUGGAGCUCCCUGAGUCACAAGUGUCUCUGUGGACUCACUGAUACCUUCAUGCUGCUGUUGGUCCAUGAGACACACAGGAGACAUCCAAAGAUCCAGAUGUGUCUCAGCUGGAUCUUCAACUGUUUCUGUGCAAAACCUUAAAGGAUCAAUAACUUGAAUUGUGGUUUUGAUGUAUUGUUUGUUGUACUGAUCUCUAAUCCUUUUGGUAAUGUAGAGAUAGAAUGAAUAAAUGAGCAGUAGAGCUGCUGUCACUGCUGUCAGUCCCAGUGCCCAGUAGAGGCCGAUCCUUCUCAGUCUGGUGUCACUCGUUGUCUCAGGUUCGGGUGGAUCCUUCACUGCUGCAAAGAGACACAACAAAUCUGUUUGUUAAUGUAAAGAAAAAGGUU